rnacentral:rRNA from 1 species
GUGGGGAAUCUUCCGCAAUGGACGAAAGUCUGACGGAGCAACGCCGCGUGAGUGAUGACGGCCUUCGGGUUGUAAAGCUCUGUGAUCGGGGACGAAUGGCUGGUGCGUUAAUACCGCAUCAGAGUGACGGUACCCGAAUAGCAAGCCACGGCUAACUACGUGCCAGCAGCCGCGGUAAUACGUAGGUGGCAAGCGUUGUCCGGAAUUAUUGGGCGUAAAGCGCGCGCAGGCGGCUUCUUAAGUCCAUCUUAAAAGUGCGGGGCUUAACUCCGUGAUGGGAUGGAAACUGGGAGGCUGGGGUAUCGGAGAGGAAAGUGGAAUUCCUAGUGUAGCGGUGAAAUGCGUAGAGAUUAGGAAGAACACCGGUGGCGAAGGCGACUUUCUGGACGACAACUGACGCUGAGGCGCGAAAGCGUGGGGAGCAAACAGGAUUAGAAACCCGGGUAGUCC